rnacentral:tRNA from 1 species
GGGCCCGUAGCUCAGUUGGUUAGAGCAGGUGACUCAUAAUCACUUGGUCGUAGGUUCGAGUCCUACCGGGCCCACCA